rnacentral:rRNA from 1 species
CUGUACAGUUCAGAGUUUGAUCCUGGCUCAGAACGAACGCUGGCGGCAUGCCUAACACAUGCAAGUCGAACGAAGGCUUCGGCCUUAGUGGCGCACGGGUGCGUAACGCGUGGGAACCUGCCCCUUGGUUCGGAAUAACACAGAGAAAUUUGUGCUAAUACCGGAUGAUGACUUCGGUCCAAAGAUUUAUCGCCGAGGGAUGGGCCCGCGUAGGAUUAGCUUGUUGGUGGGGUAAUGGCCUACCAAGGCGACGACCCUUAGCUGGUCUGAGAGGAUGAUCAGCCACACUGGGACUGAGACACGGCCCAG